AUCUUGGGCUCUUUGGUGCCGGUCGAUCUCCCCGCUGUCUCUGGACUGUCUGUCAGCCGUUGUGGACACCCCUCUUCUCUCAUGGACCCGUAGUAAGCCAUAGGACAAAGGCUGAGGGGUUGGCAUGGGCAUUGCCCAGGUACAGUACUGGGAAUCAAACUGAGAACCUUUUCCUUGCCAGGCAGGCAAGACACCACUGCAAAUUAACCUUUAUAACUAUAUUUUUUGAGUUUGUCCAGCAGAAGGGAGUUAUUGUCCAUUUGAACUGUGGAAUAAUGAGCAGUAUCUCACUGGGACUUUAUGGUGACAAUCAAAUUCAGGGACUAAGACUUAGACAUGUCACCUGUUCAGUUACCCUUCCAUGCUUCUUGCCUCAAUAUUUUUUAAUGCUUAGUACCAAUGGUAACAUAGGCUUGUUGGUAGGGUUACCAUAUAGCUUAGCACCCAAACUGGGGCAGUUUGGGGGGGGGCAUUCUUCUAAUAAUUACGUUGUGAUAACAGCUGUAAACAAGGAUUGUUUCAGCCAACCAGAACUUAUGGCCAUUGGAUCUGCUGACUGUCCACUGUUAGUCAGCCAUAGAUCCCAACUCAUUAUUUAGUCUUCCAUGAGCGCUCAACUCUAGUCACCUGACACCCAAGACCUACCCUAUUGGUACACGGUGACCUGGAAGGCUGGUCCCCAGUAGCCCAGUACACACAGGAGGUGCAAGCUAUGCUGUCAGAGGGCCAGACGGUCCAGUUCUUCUGAACACCUGCC
ensembl:lncRNA